UAUGUUUGCCUGGAAGAUAUGUUUGAUAUUCUUGGGUUGUGAUAAAUAUGUCAACCAGGUGUCAAACAUAUCAUGCCGGUUGAACGUC
rnacentral:pre_miRNA from 1 species